rnacentral:rRNA from 1 species
CUACGGGAGGCAGCAGUGGGGAAUUUUGGACAAUGGGGGCAACCCUGAUCCAGCAAUGCCGCGUGUGUGAAGAAGGCCUUCGGGUUGUAAAGCACUUUUGGCGGGAACGAAACGGCGCUUGCUAAUACCAGGCGCCAAUGACGGUACCCGCAGAAUAAGCACCGGCUAACUACGUGCCAGCAGCCGCGGUAAGACGUAGGGUGCAAGCGUUAAUCGGAAUUACUGGGCGUAAAGCGUGCGCAGGCGGUUCUGUAAGACAGGUGUGAAAUCCCCGGGCUUAACCUGGGAACUGCACUUGUGACUGCAGAGCUAGGGUGUGUCAGAGGGAGGUGGAAUUCCGCGUGUAGCAGUGAAAUGCGUAGAGAUGCGGAGGAAUACCGAUGGCGAAGGCAGCCUCCUGGGAUAACACUGACGCUCGUGCACGAAAGCGUGGGGAGCAAAUAGGAUUAGAUACCCUGGUAGC